UAAUUCCUUUGAUAGCUCGAAAUCUGGUCAGUGGGACUACCUGCCCACCGUGGAUUGUCUCACAUCGACAUGGAAGUUAUAUUGUUAAUAAAAUAAAAUGACAAACUUCAAAGCCUGAUCAUGGUUGAUGAUGGUUGGUUGUGACAUUUUAUGUAUAUCAGUGGACCAGGGGAACCGGUGUGACAUUUUGUUCAUUCAAGUUUAC
rnacentral:lncRNA from 1 species